GCUGAGAUGUCCGAGCGGUCUAAGGAGCCAGAUUCAAGUCCUGGUAGGGCAACCUGCGGGGGUUCGAAUCCCCCUCUCAGCA
rnacentral:tRNA from 1 species